rnacentral:lncRNA from 1 species
UCGAUUCCAACCUGCAUAUAAUUGUGCCCUCAUACUACCGCACCCAGAUGCAUAGGACGUUCGGGUCUUCGCGUGCGCCAGGGAGACAUCUACCGCCAUGAAACAGAGAGACCGAAGGAGGAAGAAUUGUUGUUCCUGUUUCUUGGGAUUCUUCUACUAUUCAGGCGUUCAUCCCUCUUUCUCUCGUGGCGACGAAGACGACCGACGCCGACGCCCUGCGCCUGGUGCCAGGUUCCGUCGGGUCUUCGCCGGCGAUGGACAUCCACCAUGGCCGACUGGCGAGAGAGAGAAAGGCAACAAGAGCGAGAGAACGGGUGUGUUGCCAUCGGGAGGGAGUUCAACGGAGCCGUGCACUGGACGUCCAAGACUUCCCUGUGCGUGCGGUGUAGAGCAGACCUGGCCUCCUCGCCGGGCGUGAAGACUGCGCGAACGCCGUCGAGUCGUGGACCUGGGCGUGCUUCAAAGAGCGCCGCGGUUUGGCCUUGCCAUCUUGAUCGACCGGUAAAAUUCUUUCCACCCUGUUCGCAUUAACACCCCCUCCGCGUAGCACUCUUCAGAUCCGGGUUUUGGGAACCAGAGAGGGAAACUAUGCAUCUCCGGCGAACUUCAUUGUCGUGAGCUUGGCAGCGCCGCCGCGCGUGGGCUGCUUGAUGGGGUUGUAGCUGGAGAAAGGAACAGUGGCUGUCGGAUAGGCGAUGGAUGGACGAGAUUAUGGCAUCGUAUACCCCUUCGCGCGAUCGGAUUUGGGCCGUAGAUGCGGAAUCGGGCCGUUCUGAUUUGGUUAGGGCGUGGCAAGUCAUCGACCGUUGAUCCCAUAUCCAAUGGACCUAGUUGCAUACAGAUUCGUUAUAUUUGAGAUCUAACCCUAGCCCUUGAUUUUUAAUCCAACGGCUCAGAACUACAGAUACCCUUUCGGCCUGGAAGACUUGCAUAAGAGCCACUCUGCUUUUCUAGAAUAAACCCGCAGUCCACGUAACAGUAUUGUGUAACUUAGGAAAAUGUUCACUGAAGCCCCUGUCUUUUCUAGUAAUUGAGGCCCAGUCCAGAACCCAUUUAAUUUGAAUAAAUGAAAUAGAAAAUGGAUUUUAAUAUGAAAAUAACUACUAGAACUUAAUAAAUUCAUAGAAAAUUCAUACUUGCUCCAAAUUAAUCCAUUCCACUUUCUAAAAUUUUGUAAUUUUAUUCUCUAUCACUUAGAGUCUCUGUUUUGUCAUGACAAUAGUAAGUAAAAUAAUUUCUCACUUAAUCCUAUUUCAACCACAUAAAACCUUUGGAAAUUCAUAUCUUAAAAUCUGUAACUCCAAAAAUUAUGAUUUUUGUUCCUAGGAUUCUAUUUUAAUAUGUAGAUUAUUAUUGUGUAUUUUGUUUACAUGUUUGGUGUGAUGUUAAUUUUCUCUAUAUAUUGUGCUUGUUUGUAUUGUGGCGAGUAGAAGAGCCUGUGACAGA